AACGCGAAGAACCUUACCAAGGUUUGACAUGCGCGGAAAUCCUCCAGAGAUGGGGGGUCCUUCGGGGUCGCGCACAGGUGGUGCAUGGCUGUCGUCAGCUCGUGUCGUGAGAUGUUGGGUUAAGUCCCGCAACGAGCGCAACCCUCGUCCCAUGUUGCCAGCGGGUUAUGCCGGGGACUCAUGGGAGACUGCCGGGGUCAACUCGGAGGAAGGUGGGGAUGACGUCAAGUCAUCAUGCCCCUUAUGUCUUGGGCUGCAAACAUGCUACAAUGGCCGGUACAAAGGGCUGCGAACCCGCAAGGGUAAGCGAAUCCCGGAAAGCCGGUCUCAGUUCGGAUCGGGGUCUGCAACUCGGCCCCGUGAAGUCGGAGUCGCUAGUAAUCGCGAAUCAGCAACGUCGCGGUGAAUACGUUCCCGGGCCUUGUACACACCGCUAGUC
rnacentral:rRNA from 1 species